AUGCAAGCUUCAGACAUUAUGUUCUAUGAUUUACCCCCUAGUCCCAAACCUUUCCUCAAGGGAUUAACAGAGAAGCCAGUGAUGGUGAAACUUAAGUGGGGAAUGGAUUACAGAGGCUAACUGGUAUCUGUAGGUGAACCAGAUCUACAGAUGUAUCUAUAUGAAGAUGUAGCUUGCAAAUACAGGAGAAUACAUAGUUGGGGUGUUGUCUGGACAUCUGGAUGAAGUUUUAGUAAAGUAUAAUACUGUCCUCUGUCUCAGAGGUGUGGAAGAAGAGAAAGAGGAUGGGGAAAUGAGAGAAUAGCAUCUUUUCUGGGGGAUUUUAAAGUAUAUAUUUCUAGACAAUAAAGAUUUGUAAUAAAUAAAUGACUGAACUUAUAUCCUGUCAGUUCAGUAAGUUGGUAACACCUUUUGGAAGGCAUCUGGCCUUAUAAAUCCAUGAAAAUGCACAUACUCUUUGAUCAGUUCUAUUUCUGAGAUUAUAUGCUAAAGAAACAAUCAGGAAAAUAAAGAUUUAUAAAGAGUAUUUACUGCACAUUUAUUUUAGAUAAUUAAAAAUAAUAGUUUAAAACUGGAAAGAAGCUGGACCCAGUGACUUACAUCUAUAAUCUUAGCCCUUUGGGAGGCUGAGAUGGGAGAAUUGCAUAAGGCCAGGAGUUCAAGGCCAGUCUAGGCCACAUAGCAAGACCCUGUCUGUACAAAAUUUAGCUGCUUGUGGUAGUGUGUGCCUAUCAUCAUCCUAGCUACCCAGGAGGCUGAGGCAGGAGGAUCACUUGAGCCCAGGAUAUGAGGCUGCAGUGAGCUAUGAUUGUAUGAUUACAUUCCAGCCCAGGUAAUAAGAUCUUGUCUUAAAAAAAAAAAAAGAAUAUUCAUAAUCUUUAGCCAAAUAAUCUCAGUUUUAGAAACAGCUUCUUAAAAUAAUUUAAAAGGAGGCCAGGCGCAGUGGCUCAUCUGUAAUCCCAGCACUUUGAGAGGCCGAGACAGGUGGAUCACUUGAGGCUAGAAAUUCGAGACCAGCCUGGUGAAACCCUGUCUCUGCUAAAAAUACAAAAAAGUUAGCUAGGCAUGAUGGCACACGUCUGUAAUCCAGCUACUCAGGAGGCUGAGGCAUGAGAAUUGGUCGAACCCUUGAACAGAGAUCGUGCCACCACACUCCAGCUUGGGCGGCCAAGUGAGACUUUGUCUCAAAAAGAAAAUUAAAAGGAAAAGGUAAAAUUAGCAUAUCAGGAUUAUUAAGGCCUGAAAACAAACCAAAUAAUCAGAAUGAUGGUUAUGUGGUUAAUUAAAUUACUUAUGGCAUAUUUACUCCACAGGAUAUUGUGACUUUGUUGAAACUGACAAAUAGAAAUCUAAGUUGGGGAAAGGAGGGACUUUUAAAUAUGUAAAAGUGGGAAACAAAACAGCUACCCAUAUAGAAAAAAAUGUCAGAUUCCUACAUCUCAUACUAUGUUCAAAAAUCAACUUCAGAUAGAUUAAAGUCUUAAAUAACAAAAAUAGGCCACGCAUGGAAGCUCACGCCUGGAAUCCCAACACUGGGAGGCCAAGGCAGGCAGAUUACUUGAGCCCAGGAGUUUGAAACCAGCCUGGGCAACAUGAUGAAACUAUCUGUACAAAGUAUAAAAAUUAGAUAGGCAUGGUGGCACAUAGUACUUGCGAGGCCAAGGUGGAAAGAUCACUUGAGCCCAGGAGGUCAAGGCUACAGUAAGCCAUGAUGGUGCCACUGCACUCCAGCCUGGGCAACAGAGUCAGACCUUGUCUCAAAAAAACAAAACAAACAAAUGAACAAAAAGGACAAAAACAAAAGUUUAAAAUUUUAAAAGAAAAUAGCUCCUCAAAUCUGGACAAGUGGAAACAACCCAAAUGACCAUCAACAGUUGAAUAGAUUCGCAAAAUACAGUAUAUUUAUGAUGAAAUAUUAUUCAGCCUUAGAAAGCAGUAUAAUUCUGAGACAUGCCAUAAUAUGGAUUAACCUUGGAAACAUUAUGCUAAGUAGGAUAAACCCGACCAAAAAGGACAAAUAUAGUAGGAUUCCACUAACAUGAGGACCUAAAAUAAGCAAAUUCAUAGAGACAAAAAGUAGAACAGAGGUUACUAGGGACUAGGAAAGGAAUAGGAAGACAUUGUUUAAUGGGUACAGAGUUUUCGUUUGCAAUGAUGAAAUAGCUGAAAAUGAAUAGUGGUGAUGGCUGCAUCGUGAACAUACUUAACACCAAUAAUUGUACACUUAAAAUGGUUUAAGGCUGGGCAUGGUGGCUCAUGCCUGUAAUCCCAGCACUUUAGGAGACUGAGGCAGGUGGAUCACCUGAGGUUGGGAAUUUGAGAUGAGCCUGACCAACGUGGAGAAACCCUGUCUCUACUAAAAAUACAAAAUUAGCCAGGCAUGGUGCAACAUGUCUGUAAUCCCAGCUACUUGGGAGGCUGAGGCAGGAGAAUCACUUGAACCCAGGAGGUGGAGGUUGCAGUGAACCGAGAUUGCGCCAUGCACUCCAGCCUGGGCAACAAUAGUGAAACUCUAUCUCUUGGGGAAAAAAAUGAUUUAAAAAGUAGUUUUGUUGUGUAUAUUUUCAAUAAAAGAAACCACUUAGAAAAAUUAAUGCACACGGUGGAAUCAGUGGCACAGCAGUAAAAAAAAUAGUAAUUUUUCUGACAUUAAAAUAGAAAAGGAUUUAAGAUACAAAACACACUAACUAGAAAACAUUAAUACAUUUGACCAUAUUAAAAUUAAAAACUUCAAGAUGGGAGCAGUAGUUUAAUGCCUGUAAUCCCAGCACUCUGGGAGGCCAAGGUAGGCAGAUUACUUGAGGUCAGGAGUUCGAAACCAGCCUUGGCAACAUAGUGAAACCCUGUCUCUACUAAAAAUACAAAAAUUAGCCUAGUGUAGUGGCGCAGUCUCAGCUAUUUGGGAGCCUCAGGUGGGAGGAUCAUCUGAGCCUAGGUGGUACAGGAAGCAGUGAGCUGUGAUUGUGCCACUGCACUCCAGCCUGGGUAACAGAGAAAGACUCUAUCUCUAAAACAAAACAAAACAAAACAAAACAAAAACAGGACAACCAACCAAACAAAAAAACUAACAACUAUGGAUUAGGAAUGAAUGAUUUUUCAUCUUUAUGUCUUGUGUGGAUCAGGGUAUCUCCUUUUUUAGAUCUCAUUUGCCAUAGUGCAUGUUAAAUUAUAUUUAUUGAUUGGUAAAUACAUAGAUGAACUAAUAGAUAAAAAAGAUUAUAUAUACACAGAUUAUCAGACUGAAUGAAAAGUUAUGAAAGAGAAAUUUUUAAAAUUUCUAUUUAUUAUUUUUAAUUUUUUAAAAUUAUUUUUCUGAGGCAGAGGUUUGCUCUUGUUGCCCAGGCUGGAGUGAAAUGGCAUGAUCUCAGUUCACUGCAACCUCUGCCUCCCGGGUUCAAGUGAUUCUCCUGCCUCAGCCUCCUGAGUAGCUGGAUUACAGGCAUGCGCCACCACACCCAGCUAAGUUUUGUAUUUUUAGUAGAGACCGGGUUUUGCCAUGUUGGCCAGGCUGGUCUCAAACUCCUGACCUCAGGUGAUCCACCCACCUUGGCCUCCCAAAGCACCUGGAUUAUAGGCAUGAGCCACCACGCCUGGUCAGGAAAUGUUUAAUGUUCAGUUUAUUCACGAUCUCAUUUUUCCUUCAAGUUUUAAUAACAGAACUUUUUUAGGAGGCGUAUAUGUAUGCUGAUGUGUGAUGUGUGUAGGAUUUCUGUUGAGAUGAGAAGUCAGAAUAGUUUCUGAUCCAUAAAACUUAUGGUAGACAAGAACUUAACAUUGUUAUUUUUAAAGGAAAAUCGGCUUCUAAUUUCUUUAUUUUGUUUAACCACUUUCUCUAGCUGCUGAGGUCAAACCUGAAUUAGGCUGUAGACUCCCCCUGCUGGGUAAGAAUGGAGAGAAGAGCAGAAAAACCUUAACUGUGGGCUUGAAGUCACAGGUUCCAUUAUACUCCAAUCCUCAUGUG